UACGGAGGGUGCAAGCGUUAUCCGGAUUCACUGGGUUUAAAGGGUGUGUAGGCGGAUAUUUAAGUCCGAGGUGAAAUCUCUGAGCUUAACUCAGGAACUGCCUUGGAUACUAUUUAUCUUGAAUAUCGUUGAGGCAGGCGGAAUAUGUCAUGUAGCGGUGAAAUGCGUAGAUAUGUGGAGGAACACCAGUGGCGAAGGCGACUUUCUGGACUGUAACUGACGCUGAGUCACGAAAGCGUGGGUAGCAAAC
rnacentral:rRNA from 1 species